CAUAUCUCUCUUAUAGGUGCUUUCUGUAUCCAAAGACGGAGAGCUUCACCAAAAAUUUGAGAAACUUAUUUCUGAAAUCAACAAACCAGGAGCCAAUUAUAUCCUCAGUCUAGCCAACCGGCUCUUUGGAGAAACAUCAUAUGAUUUUCUUGCAUCAUUUAUAGAAUCCACUGAGAAAUUCUACCAUGCAGGUCUGGAGAAACUUAACUUCAAACAAGCUUCAGAAGAUUCGAGAAGACAUAUAAAUGCUUGGGUAGAAGAAAAAACCUCAGG